AAUUUCAUUAACGCCACACACAUAUCGCAACCUGUCACUGGGUGCCCGGAUUUUUCAAAGCGGGUGGUGAGCGGGGAUAUGUGGAGG
rnacentral:sRNA from 1 species